rnacentral:rRNA from 1 species
UCCACCUCUUCCCAUUCCGAACAGAGAAGUUAAGCCUCACCACGCCGAUGGUACUGCGAAAGUGGGAGAGUAGGUAACCGCCCCCU